rnacentral:misc_RNA from 1 species
AGUCUAAAGAUGUGUUACAUCGAUUACAUUCAAUAUAUAUAUGGAUAUGGUUUUAUGUGGAGCAGACGGACGCCCGAGGGCACUUCCGUCUUCACGAGUGCACAGGUGUGUGUGGAUGAAAGAGAAGGCGUGCACAUGCCCAGCAGAGAGGGGCCAGCGACAACCGACUCUACAUUCGUUCGAUAAUGAUCCUUCCGCAGGUUCACCUACGGAAA